AGAUUGAACGCUGGCGGCAUGCUUUACACAUGCAAGUCGAACGGCAGCACGGGGGCAACCCUGGUGGCGAGUGGCGAACGGGUGAGUAAUGCAUCGGAACGUACCUAGUAGUGGGGGAUAACGCGUCGAAAGAUGUGCUAAUACCGCAUACGCACUAUGGUGGAAAGCGGGGGAUCGUAAGACCUCGCGCUAUUAGAGCGGCCGAUGUCCGAUUAGCUAGUUGGUGGGGUAAAGGCCUACCAAGGCGACGAUCGGUAGCUGGUCUGAGAGGAUGAUCAGCCACACUGGGACUGAGACACGGCCCAGACUCCGUACGGGAGGCAGCAGUGGGAAUUUUGGACAAGUGGGCGCAAGCCUGACUCCAGCCAUGCCGCGUGAGUGAAGAAGCCGUUCGGUGUAAGCUCGUUCGGCGUAACGAAGUCGUACGG
rnacentral:rRNA from 1 species